GAUGAACGCUGGCGGCGUGCCUAAUACAUGCAAGUCGAGCGAACAGACGAGGAGCUUGCUCCUCUGACGUUAGCGGCGGACGGGUGAGUAACACGUGGAUCACCUACCUAUAAGACUGGGAUAACUUCGGGAAACCGGAGCUAAUACCGGAUAAUAUAUUGAACCGCAUGGUUCAAUAGUGAAAGACGGUUUUGCUGUCACUUAUAGAUGGAUCCGCGUCGCAUUAGCUAGUUGGUAAGGUAACGGCUUACCAAGGCGACGAUGCGUAGCCGACCUGAGAGGGUGAUCAGCCACACUGGAACUGAGACACGGUCCAGACUCCUACGGGAGGCAGCAGUAGGGAAUCUUCCGCAAUGGGCGAAAGCCUGACGGAGCAACGCCGCGUGAGUGAUGAAGGUCUUCGGAUCGUAAAACCCUGUUAUUAGGAAAGAACAAAUGUGGAUGUAACUAUGCACGUCUUGACGGUACCUAAUCAGAAAGCCACGGCUAACUACGUG
rnacentral:rRNA from 1 species